UUGACCUCAAAUCGGGUGAGACUACCCGCUGAACUUAAGCAUAUCAAUAAGCGGAGGAAAAGAAACUAACAAGGAUUCCCCUAGUAACUGCGAGUGAAGCGGGAAAAGCUCAAAUUUAAAAUCUGGUGGCCUUUGGUCAUCCGAGUUGUAAUUUAGAGAAGCGUCUUCCGCGCUGGACCAUGCACAAGUCUCCUGGAAUGGAGCGUCAUAGAGGGUGAGAAUCCCGUCUUUGGCAUGGAUGCACCAGGGCUUCUGUGAUGCGCUCUCGAAGAGUCGAGUUGUUUGGGAAUGCAGCUCAAAAUGGGUGGUGAACUCCAUCUAAAGCUAAAUAUUGGCGAGAGACCGAUAGCGAACAAGUACCGUGAGGGAAAGAUGAAAAGCACUUUGGAAAGAGAGUGAAACAGUACGUGAAAUUGUUGAAAGGGAAACGCUUGAAGUCAGUCGCGUCGACCGAGACUCAGCCUCGCCUUGGCUUGGUGUACUUCUCGGCCGACGGGUCAGCAUCAAUUUUGCCCCUCGGAUAAUGACAAGGGAAAGGUAGCACCUUUAUAGGUGUGUUAUAGUCUCCUGUCGCAUGCGAGGGUUGGGAUUGAGGAACUCAGCACGCGCCUUUUGGUGUCGGGGCUUCGGCCUACGUACGUGCUUAGGAUGCUGGCAUAAUGGCUUUAAACGACCCGUCUUGAAACACGGACCAAGGAGUCUAACAUGCCCGCGAGUGUUCGGGUGGAAAACCCGUGCGCGUAAUGAAAGUAAAAGUUGGGACCUCUGUCGUGGAGAGCACCGACGCCCGGACCAGACCUUCUGUGACGGAUCUGCGGUAGAGCGUGCAUGUUGGGACCCGAAAGAUGGUGAACUAUGCUUGAAUAGGGUGAAGCCAGAGGAAACUCUGGUGGAGGCUCGUAGCGAUUCUGACGUGCAAAUCGAUCGUCAAAUUUGGGUAUAGGGGCGAAAGACUAAUCGAACCAUCUAGUAGCUGGUUCCUGC
rnacentral:rRNA from 1 species